ACGGACACAGACACAUGCGGCAAGACGAAAGAUUAUUCUCGCGUUGUUGGUGCGUCGUCUGCGUCGCAAGAGAAACAGGUCUCUCUACAUAAGGGAUAUAUUUGAGAAGCGUCCAGAGUAUGGAGAAUACCACCACCUAGUACAGGAGCUUCGGCACAGUGAUCCUGAAUAUCAUUUCAAGUAUUUCAGGAUGACAAAGGCAUCAUUCGACAAGCUGCUGAGCCUUGUUUACCACAGGCUUGUUCAUCCUCCAACUCACAGGAGACCCAUUUCACCGGCAGAGAGGCUCGCGGUGACAUUGAGAUUUCUGGCCACAGGAGGGUCCAUGGAGGACAUUGCAUUGAGCUUCCGAAUGCAUGCUUCUACUGUAGCUAGGAUACUGAAGGAGACAUUACCAGCAAUCUGGGACU